CCAAACGUAACUGAUAAGUUUUGGCUAAUGCUUUCAUUUCUGAGGAGGCAAAACACCACCUACAUGUAAAAUGGUGAUAUUGCCAGAUAAACUCAUGUAUCUCACAUGUUACAACAUAAAGAAAGGAAUUUACUCUGAGGUGCAAUGUUCUGUGGUGAUACAGCAAGAAAAACCUCCUUUAUAAACAGCCAAAACUGAUAUUUUCUGUGGAAUACUGGAAUAGCUUUAAACUUUUUUUCUUUUUUCUUUUCCUUUGCAGAUGGGAUCUUUUGAUGGUCCAGAAGUUCUCCUCAAGGGAUUGGCUGUCAAGCCAGAGCACUUUUUCUGCUCAGUAACAAAAAGUUACUUACUGUGGACAGUGGGAAAGCCAGGACACUGAAAAGAAGGUCUCUGCUGGAAAUUACACACUUAGCACAUCGCAGUUUCUUAAUUAGUCUCAACAUAUCAGCCAGCAAGGACACCCCAUAGAAGACAGCCUGCAAAACCUAAAGAGAUCAAGCUGAACCAGGUUUCAGACACACACAGGCAAAGCCUUGCAGAAAACUACUUCUUCCACAACCUUGCAUUCAGCACUGAAUCUAGUUCAGUUCUGUUAACUUACAGGAUGGACUCUUUCAGUCUAUGUUCUCCCAGAGUGAUGCAAUAUGGGAAAUGCAGCUUACUGCAAACGCUGGACCAGCUAGCAAUGCUUAAAUGGAAAGAGGCUGUGUCACAGCUUUCAGGAUGAGAUCUCUUUUGCCAUGAUCUUACUCUGAAUCAGAUAUUUAUUUAGAGCAGUGACUGAAGAUGUGGCUGGUUACUUCAGCAGUUCCUGAAGGAGGCAAGAAGGGUGGUGCUUGAGAGGGGACAGAAUUAAUGCAAUGAUUUUCCAUCAGAAAUUACUUUAUUAUCAAAAUAUCUCGGGGAAGGAGGGGACUGUGAUUUCACCAUUCCCAUUGUCAAACAAGGGUUUCUGUAAGCUUUAGUUUACAGAGACUAGGUCUUCCUGCGGAGCAAAGUGACCGUAGUUUGCAUAACCAAAGUAUCCUUGCAGCUAUCUGUAACCAUCCCCAUCCAUUUUGUUGCUUCCCAGCAAAAGGAAAAGAUACAUCCUUCUUUAUCCAUCCCUUACACAGUUCUGAUGGUGCCCACAGUAGACUGCAGCGUGUCCCCCAUCUCUGCACAGACCCACAGAGGUGGAGGUGCUGACGCAGGCUGGGUGACUGGCCCAGGGUCUCCCAGGAUAAGGUAUUGGAGAUCAUGCACCACUCAGUUCAGCUGCAAAGCCUUGUGUUUCCUCUCAAGAGCAUGGGGUGAACAGCCACAUUUUUACAUUAAAAAAAAAAAAACCAAGCAGUUUCAUCAGAACCCACAUAUGGUUUAGUUCAAUUCUGAGGCACCCAAACCAGCUCUUUUAAAUGUGGUUUUCUCUCUCCCCAUUAUCACAAUUAGCCUCUGUAGCUGCAGACACAAUUUCAGCCCACAGAGAUUCAGCCCUCCAAGUCACGAAUCUAGUUCAGAAAAGUCCAUACUGAGGCACAGUGUACUUAGACCCAAACACAUGUCCAACCCAAACAUCUGUCCCAGUCCUUAGCCUCACCAAGACACCAGAACCAAGCUCCUGAAGAGCUAAGAAAAGCCUGGUAACAAGCAGACACUCUUAUUACACCCUGUAGAGUCAGCAGUAACUUUCUGUGAAAGCAUGAAAAAUGAACAUGAGGGUAGUGACAGACUGGUGACACAUGGUGACUAAUUGCCAAUAAAGCAAUUAGGGGGAGGCCUGGUUCCCAGAGGAUGGGGCUAUUAUUAUCUUGUUCAUGGUCAGCCUUACAUUAAUCAUGGGACAGGGAUAGGCUGCUUCUUCCCCCUCCUUCAAAACUGACUAAAACAAACAUUGCUGAAAAGAAACAGUCCCAAAAUAGCCACAUUCUCAGUCUGGUAAAUAUUCUGUCAUAUGCAGGGAAAGAUAAUUUUAUCGUCCAUAUGGAAACUGCUUAUCAGAAUGUGUAACCUGACCCAUUUCUCUGACAGGACAUGGAGAACAGCUCCUGAAGAAGUUUGAACUCAGUCUCAGGAGCUUGUUUUGGCACUGCUCACAGUUCUACCCUUGUCCAUUUCUGUGAGUCCGUAGGGGGUUCGGUCAGUUUGUGGUCACCCUGUACUUCCAGGAGCAAUGGAAGUGUAUACAAGUAAUUUUCAAGCCAGGAAACCUGAACCUAGUUAGAACCAUCCCUAGUAACACUCAGUCUGGCAGGGUACAUUGCUCGUAGACUAGAAUCAGAGGUCCAAACCUGUGCUUUUCCAGGCUUAUUCCUGUAAGAAAGGUGCAUCCAAAUCUCACAGCCCUUCAUUAGUGAGAAAAUGUUGACUUUUUUUAAAAAAAAAAGACAUGAAAACAUCAAAUUAUUCCAGAUGUCCUGUGGAUUUCCCAAACAGCAGUGCUGGCGCUCAUAAAUCCAUUGCAGCCGCUUGUGGAAUAUAAAUCCACUGGCUGUAAAUAAAGAGCAUCCCACAAAGUAUUCCCACACGAACAGAAGGAAGACUGGAAGCAUUCAGAAAGCUAAUGAUUACUCCAAAGAGGACAACAUGGAUAUGCUAAUCCCUGUUGGAGAGAUGCUGCUUUCCUCAAGACCCUGCAGAGCUCCAUGGCACUAGGUGCUGUAGAAACACUUAAUUUGGCCAGAUCGAUUUUCCAAACUGAGAGUCAUUGUGACAAAGACAAACUCAAUUUUUAUCCGCUGCAGUGAUCAAAAGGGUGUUUCUGUUUAACCGACCUGACAUGAUUUACUUUCCUAUAUAAGAUCUAGUCAUAUGUGUACAUUGAAAUUUCCAACUAGUACAAAUAAAUUGAAGCUCUGCCCGUAAGGGGGGAUAAAUCCAAUAGUAUGAGUAGGCUAUUAGAUAUAACAGUUAACAUUGAAUAUAAACAGACACACAUCCAUUCACAUGAUAGUGACCUGGAAAAUAUGCAUGCUAAAUACUGUGUCUAUUUUGAAAUAAAAUAAACCCUGCUUUUAGGAGAAUUGAAAAGUAUUUCAAUUAUGAGACAAAAAUGUAAGACAUAAAAUAGGGCAGGAAUGCAAUUAAUAGUUUUUAAAGGUGCAGUGUGCUCAUUAUACAAUGAUUUGCUAAUAGAUUUAUGGCACUGAGCAGAUUUUUAUAAACUUGGAUAUUUCAGGCAACGAAUGAUUCAGCUUGUCCUGUUUUGUGUCACAGACAAAUGAAUACAGAACUGUUUUUAUCUGUCAUUUCUGCUUGUUCAAUAAUCAGUCAAUGAACUCCUUUGAUACAAAACCCACUUAUCUAUUUUUUUUGCCCUACAAAAAUAUUUCCUUUCUAAAUCUUGAUUGCUGUGUUCAUUAACUAGAUAAAUGAAUCUGAACGUCAGAGCUGUAGCUCUCUUGGGAGAGCCACAUGACUACUGAGGAAUUGAAUGAGGUGCUAAAAGAGGGUCAUGUCUAUCAAAUUCUUUCAGCAUCCCUCCAGCAGAGCUAGGAGUCAAGCUGAAUUUCCACCACUGGAAAAUGCCACGUUUCCCAGUAUUUCCAUUUUAGAUCAGAGUGAGCUGACCACAGCAGCUUUCCACAGAAGGAAAUUUUUAAAUGCAAUUCCAAAGAACUAAGAGGAAUUCUGGGGGGGAAAUUUCCAAGCAACUCAUCCAGCCAGUGCCAGAAGCCAGGCAAUCACAGUCUGGCAGGAGACAGGCAGAGAAACUGGACAACGGCUCUGCAUGCCUGGCUCUAGGAAAGCCCAGCGUGGCAGCUCAACUGAACCAGCACAGACCAGCAGGAAGCUUUUGCCCGCUCUUCUUCCCCAGGGCGGUAUCUCCCAUCAUCCCAAGGCACCUCCUGGGACUAGGCACUUCCUAAGGUGCAGAAAUGUCAAGCAUCAGGUGUGCACCUUAUGGUCAUCUGUGGUUGACAGCCACCAGGUUCCUUCAUGUCUCUCAGCAGCAGCAAGAAGUGUUUUAAUACCAAACCAUAGGGCAAUUCUUCUAGGUCUUGUGGA